AGCAUAUUAAUGAGGGGAGGAAAAGAAACUAACAAGGAUUUUCUUAGUAGCGGCGAGCGAAAAGAAAACAGUUCAGCACUAAGUCACUUUGUCUUUAUGGCAAAUGUGAGAUGCAGUGUAUGGAAUGUCAAAUUUCUAGUAUGAGAAAUUAACGAUUUAAGUCCUUCUUAAAUGAGGCCAUUUACCCAAAGAGGGUGCCAGGCCCGUAUAACGUUAAUGAUUACUAGAUGGCAUUUCCAAAGAGUCGUGUUGCUUGAUAGUGCAGCACUAAGUGGGUGGUAAACUCCAUCUAAAACUAAAUAUAACCAUGAGACCGAUAGUAAACAAGUACCGUGAGGGAAAGUUGAAAAGAACUCUGAAUAGAGAGUUAAAUAGUACGUGAAACUGCUUAGAGGUUAAGCCCGAUGAACCUGAAUAUCCGUUAUGGAAAAUUCAUCAUUAUGAUUUUAAUAUUUAUAAUAUUAUAAUAAUGGUGUGCAUUUUUUCUAUAAAGGACAUUGUAAUCUAUUAAUAUAAAUAUAUUUAUCAUAAGAUCAAGUGCGUAAGUUUAUUCAAAUUAUUUUGCUUGCAAUUUAACAUAGAAUAAAUGCUCUUGAUUUGAUAAAGUGUUGAUAGAUUUAUUAUAUAUAGUGCUUAAAUAUUUAUAUUUUAUAAUAGCAUAUUAAUCAUUGAUUUUUAUGUUUAUUAUAUGCACUUAUAUGAUUAACAAUGCGAAAGAUUCAGGAUACCUUCGGGACCCGUCUUGAAACACGGACCAAGGAGUCUAACAUAUUUGCAAGUUAUUGGGAAUAAAAACCUAAUAGCGCAAUUAACAUAACUUAUUAAUGGGAUUAGUUUUUAGCCUAUUUAUAGUCUAUUAAUUCAAUCCCGGGGCGUUCUAUCAGUUAUGUAUAAUAAUAUUUAUAUUAUUUAUACCUCUAACUAGAGCGUACCUUGAGCAUAUAUGCUGUGACCCGAAAGAUGGUGAACUAUACUUGAUCAGGUUGAAGUCAGGGGAAACCCUGAUGGAAGACCGAAACAGUUCUGACGUGCAAAUCGAUUGUCAGAAUUGAGUAUAGGGGCGAAAGACCAAUCGAACCAUCUAGUAGCUGGUUCCCUCCGAAGUUUCCCUCAGGAUAGCUGGUGCAUUUAAAAAUUAUGUAAAAUAAUCUUAUCUGGUAAAGCGAAUGAUUAGAGGCCUUAGGGUCGAAACGACCUUAACCUAUUCUCAAACUUUAAAUGGGUAAGAACCUCACCUUUCUUGGUAUGAAGGUCGUGGUUGUGAUAUAAUGUGCCCAGUGGGCCACUUUUGGUAAGCAGAACUGGCGCUGUGGGAUGAACCAAACGUAAUGUUACGGUGCCCAAAUUAACAACUCAUGCAGAUACCAUGAAAGGCGUUGGUUGCUUAAAACAGCAGGACGGUGGACAUGGAAGUCGUAAUCCGCUAAGGAGUGUGUAACAACUCACCUGCCGAAGCAACUAGCCCUUAAAAUGGAUGGCGCUUAAGUUGUAUACCUAUACAUUACCGCUAAAGUAGAUGGUUUAUGUUCAAUUUCGGUUGGAUUAUAAACUUUGAAACUUUAGUGAGUAGGAGGGUACAAUGGUGAGCAUAGAAGUGUUUGGCGUAAGCCUGCAUGGAGCUGCCAUUGGUACAGAUCUUGGUGGUAGUAGCAAAUAAUCGAAUGAGACCUUGGAGGACUGAAGUGGAGAAGGGUUUCGUGUGAACAGUGGUUGAUCACGAGUUAGUCGGUCCUAAGUUCAAGGCGAAAGCCGAAAAUUUUCAAGUUAUAAUGAAAAGUAAAAAUAUUUGCUUAGUAAUUAAACACUUGAAUAAUUUUGAACGAAAGGGAAUACGGUUCCAAUUCCGUAACCUGUUGAGUAUCCGUUUGUUAUUAAAUAUGGGCCUUGUGCUCAUCCUGGCAACAGGAACGACCAUAAAGAAGCCGUCGAGAGAUAUCGGAAGAGUUUUCUUUUCUGUUUUAUAGUCGUACUACCAUGGAAGUCUUUCGAAGAGAGAUAUGGUAGAUGGACUAGAAGAGCAUGACAUUUACUGUUGUGUCGAUAUUUUCUCCUCGGACCUUGAAAAUUUAUGGUGGGGUCACGCAAACUUCUCAACAGGCCGUACCAAUAUCCGCAGCUGGUCUCCAAGGUGAAGAGUCUCUAGUCGAUAG
rnacentral:rRNA from 1 species